UGUGAGCUAUGACCUUCUGUGGUGCUUUCGAGCAGCAGCUGCCUCCAUCAGCCAUCAGGUUUGUUCCUGUGUUUUAGUAGAUGGCCUAGACUGUUAAUAUUAGAGGAUCUAAAAUAAAUCAACAUAUUAUCCUAAGGAUACAAAACGUAAGAGCUAUUUGUGGCUAGGAGCCCUUGACAGAUAGUUUGGCUGAGGCAGAUGAUUGCCCGCCUCUCGGAUCUGGCUCCCAUUGCUGUGCCUGCAGGCAGUGUGGGUUAUAGUUGUAUAUUGAUGUCAGGGUUACUACUGAGUGGCUAGCAAUGACAGAUGUCUAUAAUUAGAGGCAAUGCUGCCAGUAUUUCAGAGGAGCCGGCCUAUGUUGAACAAUUAUCUUAUUUCUGGCUUGCCAAGGAGGGUUGUUCAAAUUGCUGGUAUUAGCUGUGGUGGCUGUAACACUUCUCCUUAUGCCCUGGGAUAAAUGUGCAAAAACACUGUCAUGUACAACCCUGGUGCAAAACCUCUUCAAAAGAUGUGAUCCUGCUAAAUUUCAUCUGCUUAAGGCUUGAUCUGGAGAUGCAUAACACCAGCUGCAGUGCUGUUACUCAGUACAGAGCAAUAGUUUUGGAUACAGAGAUUUCAGAGCUGUACUCUGAUUUUUAGUCCUUGUUUCUAAGUGCCAAAGUGAUGUUGAUUCUUGAGCGUUGGUGUUUAUUGCACAUAGGUGUGCUGAGUUGGCCACUCAUAUAGAUACAAUUCAAUGUCUGAAUAAAAUUUAGCUGCACACUUGUAAUAGUUACAGGGGCAAGUCAGAGUGUGGGUUACUGCUGUUCAAGUACCUGUAAUUCUGGAUCUUUUGGAGUGUUCUGACUGGCACAAAUGUACACUUGGAACUGUAGAGUAGUGCUUCAUUUCAAUCACCAAAGAUUCUAAACCAGCAUUUUGGCUUAUUGUUAAGCAAAUCCUUGACUGUAUACUUUGCUUGUAUUUCUGCAGUGCAGUGUAUAGCUCUGAUGGAAAGUGCACCCCAGAACUAUGCUUCAAAAGCUAAGAAUCUUCUGGAAGAUACUAAAAAAAAAAUGUGUCCCAGGCUGCAUCAGUAAUAAGAGCAGUUAGUUCAUAGUAGGUCUCCUGUAUAAGUUCUGCAGAAUUGUACAUCUUUCAAGAUUUCCAGAAAACAUGGAUUCAGAAAUGGAGAAAUAUAUAAAUAAGUAAAUAAAAGCUGA